rfam:Candidate division WWE3 bacterium RIFCSPHIGHO2_01_FTLL_35_17 rifcsphigho2_01_scaffold_43437, whole genome shotgun sequence.
GGGGUCGUAGCUCAAUUGGUUAGAGCGCCUCCCUGUCACGGAGGAGGCUACGGGUUCGAGUCCCGCCGAUCCCG